rnacentral:rRNA from 1 species
GACGAACGCUGGCGGCGUGCCUAAUACAUGCAAGUCGAGCGAAGUUUUUCUGGUGCUUGCACCGGAAAAACUUAGCGGCGAACGGGUGAGUAACACGUAAAGAACCUGCCUCAUAGACUGGGACAACUAUUGGAAACGAUAGCUAAUACCGGAUAAUAGCAUUAACUGCAUGGUUGAUGUUUAAAAGUUGGUUUUACUAACACUAUGAGAUGGCUUUGCGGUGCAUUAGCUAGUUGGUGGGGUAAAGGCCUACCAAGGCGACGAUGCAUAGCCGACCUGAGAGGGUGAUCGGCCACACUGGGACUGAGACACGGCCCAGACUCCUACGGGAGGCAGCAGUAGGGAAUCUUCCGCAAUGGGCGAAAGCCUGACGGAGCAACGCCGCGUGAGUGAAGAAGGAUUUCGGUUCGUAAAGCUCUGUUGUUAGGGAAGAAUGGUUGUGUAGUAACUAUACACAGUAGAGACGGUACCUAACCAGAAAGCCACGGCUAACUACGUG